CACGUAGGGGACGAGCGUUGUCCGGAUUCAUUGGGCGUAAAGCGCGCGUAGGCGGCUUUGCAAGUCGGGUGUGAAAGCCCUCAGCUCAACUGAGGAAGUGCGCCCGAAACUGCAGAGCUUGAGUGCCGGAGAGGGUGGCGGAAUUCCCCAAGUAGAGGUGAAAUUCGUAGAUAUGGGGAGGAACACCGGUGGCGAAGGCGGCCACCUGGACGGUAACUGACGCUGAGACGCGAAAGCGUGGGGAGCAAACAGG
rnacentral:rRNA from 1 species